GCCAGAGUGGUGCUAUGAUUUGAAUGUUGGACUAUGACUCUGGAGAUUAGGGUUCGAAUCCCGGCUCAGCCA